rnacentral:rRNA from 1 species
UGGGGAAUAUUGCACAAUGGGGGAAACCCUGAUGCAGCGACGCCGCGUGAACGAAGAAGGUAUUCGUAUCGUAAAGUUCUGUCCUAUGGGAAGAUAAUGACAGUACCAUAGAAGAAAGCUCCGGCUAAAUACGUGCCAGCAGCCGCGGUAAUACGUAUGGAGCGAGCGUUGUCCGGAAUUAUUGGGCGUAAAAGGUACGCAGGCGAUUUAAUAAGUCGAAUGUUAAAGAUCGGGGCUCAACCCCGCAAAGCAUUGGAAACUGAUAAACUUGAGUAGUGGAGAGGAAAGUGGAAUUCCUAGUGUAGUGGUGAAAUACGUAGAUAUUAGGAGGAAUACCAGUAGCGAAGGCGACAUUCUGGACACAAACUGACGCUGAGGUACGAAAGCGUGGGGAGCAAACAGG